rnacentral:lncRNA from 1 species
UUCCCCAUUGGCCAUCCGCGCACGCCAAUCAUUUUGUGUGCGCGCGAAUUCUGAGUCCCAUUGGUGGACCUUGCCCCGCCCCCUCGGCUUGUGGGUGAGUGGGCGUGUCUUGGGGCGGGCCGCCAGUGGUGGGGGUCUCGGACACGGGGCAAGCCGAGAGUAGUCGUACGCACGGCCGCUGUCUACGGAGGCGGAUGAGGGGCGGCGCGAGACUAUUUGACACACUGUGGGGAUUUUUGGUCUGCUGGAAAUGCUUACUGGAGAGCAAUGCAAGGACAGCUCAAUCUUUCUAUGGGACACAGAACACUGGCUAAUAAAACAGGCUUCUCCUGGUGAGACCAGGGUAAGUAACCAUAUUAUUUAGUAGCAUUUUUCUCCUGAGUUAGUAAAUACUGCAUGGAAACUGAUAU